AGGACGAACGCUGGCGGCGUGCUUAACACAUGCAAGUCGGGCGAGGCUCUUCCUUCGGGGAGAUGCCCUAGCGGCGAACGGGUGAGUAACACGUGGGCAACCUGCCCCUAGCACUGGGAUAACUCCGGGAAACCGGGGCUAAUACCAGAUAUGACCUUUGAGGGCAUCCUCUUUGGUGUAAAGGAUUCUGGCUAGGGAUGGGCCCGCGGCCUAUCAGCUUGUUGGUGGGUAAUGGCCCACAAGGCGACGACGGGUA
rnacentral:rRNA from 1 species